AAGCCAUUGUGCGGACAAUCUCACACCAAUCUCUUAAACCUCGCCCAAGCAUCACUAAAAGAUUCGUCAAUAUCUUGUUCAAAAUUAGUAUUCAACUUCCUCCUUCU